UUAAAACCCCCCAAAUACGAGCUCCUCCAGCCCAUUUUGGAAGGGUGCAAUGGGGGUGAGAUGCUCGCAGCCCCCCCUCACCCCAUAACCCCCCCAAAAAGGGGGAUGCAGCAGCCCCCAGCUCGCCCUUGGAGCCCCCCCCCCCCCCCAGGGUUCCCCCCCCCCAAAACCCCCCACCGGGGCAGGUUGCGGGGGGGCCCCUGCGAAGUAACCGGGGGGGGGGGGGGAAGGAAAAGGGGGGGCUGGAAAAAAAAUAAUUAAAAUAAUAAAAUAAAGGGGGGGGGGAAGGAAAGGGAGGGCGCAGGCUCUACCAUUUUGAUGCAAAGGUCUCCGCGCAAAGGAGUCCCGGUCCUCCUCCGCUUGCCUGGGGUUUGUGCUCUCCAUGAAAAAAAAGGAGCUGGUGGGUUGGGUGGGUUGCUGGCUUGGUGGCUUUUUUUUUUUUUUUUUUUUCCUUUUUCUUUUUUUUUCCUUUUCCUUUUUUUUUCUUUUUUCUUUUUUUUGCUGCCUUUUUUUUUAUUAUUAUUAUUAUUUUUUCUCUUCUUCCCCUUUCCGGAGGGAGGAGGGAAUCACCGCGCUGCCAGCCCUGCUCGCAUCCCCCUUCCCCUUAUCCCCUUUUUUUUUUCGGCUUUUUUUUUUUUCUCCCCUCCGCCUUUUUUUUUUCUCGCCCUUUUUGCUCUCCCCCCUUUUCCUCUCCUCUUCCUCUCCUCCCUCGCUCCUUCACCUCAUCCUGCCCAUCGCCAUGUUAGCCCCUUUUGGGAAGAACGGAGGAAUGCGGAGCGGCGGCGGCUCCGGCUGCCAAGAGCCCUUGGGCCGCUGAUUGGAGCCGCAGCAUCAGCUGGGGCCGCCGCUGCCCCCCCUUAAAGGGACAGGCCCCGGCCUCUACUCACCCCCCCCCGGGACCCCCCCCUAUUCCUGUCACCCCCCUCGACCCCCUAAGAUCCUCCCCUGACCCCCCUUUUUCCCCCCCUACCCCCGUGGGGGGACCCCACCGAGCAGCGCGAGCAUUGCGGAGGGGGAAACUGAGGCACCGUGGAGAGGUCUGGGCUUAAAAGAUUUUAAGAAAUAUAUAUAAAAAAAGAGGGUUUGGGGUUGCAAAAGGGUGAGUUGGGGAGGUGUGGGGGGUCAGCAAGCUCGGUUUUGUUUAAAAAAUAAAAAAAAAAAUAGGGGGAAAUGGGGGUGUGGA
rnacentral:lncRNA from 1 species